UGGGGAAUCAUGGUCAAUGGGCGAAAGCCUGAACCUGCGACGCCGCGUGAGUGAUGAAGGUCGUAAGAUCGUAAAACUCUUUUCAGGGAUCUUAAAGCACAACCGUCAACAACGGCUGUGUGUGACUCUCCCUGGAAGAAGCCCCAGCCAACUACGUGCCAGCAGCUGCGGUAAUACGUAGGGGGCGAGCGUUAUUCGGAAUUACUGGGUGUAAAGGGCGUGUAGGCGGGAAUGUAAGUCAGAUGUGAAAUCCCAGGGCUUAACCCUGGAGCUGCAUCUGAAACUAUGUUUCUUGAGUGCCGGAGAGGAAAGCGGAAUUCCUAGUGUAGCGGUGAAAUGCGUAGAUAUUAGGAGGAACACCAGUGGCGAAGGCGGCUUUCUGGACGGUAACUGACGCUGAGGCGCGAAAGCGUGGGAAGCAAACA
rnacentral:rRNA from 1 species